rnacentral:rRNA from 1 species
GAUGAACGCUCGCGGCAGGCCUAAUACAUGCAAGUCGAACGGGAUCCAGAUCAAAGCUUGCUUUGGUCUGGUGAGAGUGGCGCACGGGUGCGUAACGCGUGAGCAACCUACCCUUGUCAGGGGGAUAGCCCGGCGAAAGUCGGAUUAAUACCGCAUGACAUCAUUGAGAGGCAUCUUUCGAUGAUCAAAGAUUUAUCGGACAAGGAUGGGCUCGCGUGACAUUAGCUAGUUGGUAAGGUAACGGCUUACCAAGGCUGCGAUGUCUAGGGGCUCUGAGAGGAGAAUCCCCCACACUGGUACUGAGACACGGACCAGACUCCUACGGGAGGCAGCAGUAAGGAAUAUUGGUCAAUGGACGGAAGUCUGAACCAGCCAUGCCGCGUGCAGGAGGACGGCCCUAUGGGUUGUAAACUGCUUUUAUACGGGAACAAACGUCGGUACGUGUACCGGUCUGAGUGUACCGCAAGAAUAAGGAUCGGCUAACUCCGUG